AUUGAACGCUGGCGGCAGGCCUAACACAUGCAAGUCGAGCGGAUGAAGGGAGCUUGCUCCUGGAUUCAGCGGCGGACGGGUGAGUAAUGCCUAGGAAUCUGCCUGGUAGUGGGGGAUAACGUCCGGAAACGGGCGCUAAUACGCAUACGUCCUGAGGGAGAAAGUGGGGGAUCUUCGGACCUCACGCUAUCAGAUGAGCCUAGGUCGGAUUAGCUAGUUGGUGGGGUAAAGGCCUACCAAGGCGACGAUCCGUAACUGGUCUGAGAGGAUGAUCAGUCACACUGGAACUGAGACACGGUCCAGACUCCUACGGGAGGCAGCAGUGGGGAAUAUUGGACAAUGGGCGAAAGCCUGAUCCAGCCAUGCCGCGUGUGUGAAGAAGGUCUUCGGAUUGUAAAGCACUUUAAGUUGGGAGGAAGGGCAGUAAGUUAAUACCUUGCUGUUUUGACGUUACCAACAGAAUAAGCACCGGCUAACUUCGUG
rnacentral:rRNA from 1 species